GCCUAGUGCAAUCUGUCUUUAAGUAGGGGUAAAUUGCUCUUUCUAAAAAAAUCCUACUUUUCCCUUCAAGUCGAGCAUAUUGU
rnacentral:pre_miRNA from 1 species